rnacentral:rRNA from 1 species
AUUGAACGCUGGCGGCAUGCCUUACACAUGCAAGUCGAACGGUAACAGGUCUUCGGAUGCUGACGAGUGGCGAACGGGUGAGUAAUACAUCGGAACGUGCCUAGUAGUGGGGGAUAACUACUCGAAAGAGUGGCUAAUACCGCAUGAGAUCUACGGAUGAAAGCAGGGGAUCGCAAGACCUUGUGCUACUCGAGCGGCCGAUGGCAGAUUAGGUAGUUGGUGGGAUAAAAGCUUACCAAGCCGACGAUCUGUAGCUGGUCUGAGAGGACGACCAGCCACACUGGGAGUGAGAGACGGCCAAGACUCCUACGGGAGGCAGCAGUGGGGAAUUUUGGACAAUGGGCGCAAGCCUGAUCCAGAAAUGCCGCGUGCAGGAUGAAGGCCUUCGGGUUGUAAACUGCUUUUGUACGGAACGAAAAGCCCCGGGUUAAUACCCUGGGGUCAUGACGGUACCGUAAGAAUAAGCACCGGCUAACUACGUGCCAGCCGCCGCCGUAA